GACAGAGGGUGCAAACGUUUGUUCGGAAUUACUGGGCGUAAAGCGAGUGUAGGCGGUUUGGUAAGUCGGAUGUGAAAGCCCCGGGCUCAACCCGGGAAGUGCACUCGAUACUGCCAAGCUAGAGUGUCGGAGAGGUUGGUGGAAUUCUCGGUGUAGAGGUGAAAUUCGUAGAUAUUGGGAAGAACACCAGUGGCGAAGGCGGCUAACUGGUCCGGUACUGACGCUGAGGUGGCGAAAGCGUGGGGAGCAAACAGG
rnacentral:rRNA from 1 species